rnacentral:rRNA from 1 species
AAACUUUCAACAACGGAUCUCUUGGUUCUGGCAUCGAUGAAGAACGCAGCGAAAUGCGAUACGUAGUGUGAAUUGCAGAAUUCAGUGAAUCAUCGAAUCUUUGAACGCACAUUGCGCCCCUUGGUAUUACCAUGGGGCAAGCCUGUUCGAGCGUCAUUU